rnacentral:rRNA from 1 species
AUUGAACGCUGGCGGCAGGCCUAACACAUGCAAGUCGAGCGGAUGAAGGGAGCUUGUUUCUGGAUUCAGCGGCGGACGGGCGAGUAAUGCCCAGGAAUCUGCCUGGCAGUGGGGGAUAACGUCCGGAAACGGGCGCUAAUACCGCAUACGUCCUGCGGGAGCAAGUGGGGGAUCUUCGGACCUCACGCUACCAGAUGAGCCUAGGUCGGAUUAGCUAGCUGGUGGGGUAAAGGCCUACCAAGGCGACGAUCCGUAACUGGUCUGAGAGGAUGAUCAGUCACACUGGAGCUGGGACACGGUCCAGGCUCCUGCGGGAGGCAGCAGUGGGGAAUGUUGGGCAGUGGGCGAGAGCCUGAUCCAACCGUGCCGCGUGUGAGGAGAAGGUCUUCGGAUUGUAAAGCACUUUAAGUUGGGAGAAAGGGCAGUAAGUUGUUACCUUGCUGUUUUGACGUUACCAGCAGAAUAAGCACCGGCUAACUUCGUG